rnacentral:ncRNA from 1 species
UAUUCUCAGGGCGGGGUGAAAUUCCCCACCGGCGGUAUGUCAGCAAGCAAUGGUUGCGAGACUGACGAGCCCGCGAGCGCCCAGACGUUGGUUUGGGGUCAGCAGACUUGGUGAGAGGCCAAGGCCGACGGUUAAAGUCCGGAUGAAAGAGGAUG